UGGGGAAUAUUGCACAAUGGGCGAAAGCCUGAUGCAGCAACGCCGCGUGAGUGAUGAAGGCCUUCGGGUUGUAAAGCUCUGUCUUUUGGGACGAUAAUGACGGUACCAAAGGAGGAAGCCACGGCUAACUACGUGCCAGCAGCCGCGGUAAUACGUAGGUGGCAAGCGUUGUCCGGAUUUACUGGGCGUAAAGGAUGCGUAGGCGGAUUUUUAAGUGAGAUGUGAAAUACCCGGGCUUAACUUGGGUGCUGCAUUUCAAACUGGGAAUCUAGAGUGCGGGAGAGGAGAAUGGAAUUCCUAGUGUAGCGGUGAAAUGCGUAGAGAUUAGGAAGAACACCAGUGGCGAAGGCGAUUCUCUGGACCGUAACUGACGCUGAGGCAUGAAAGCGUGGGUAGCAAACAGGAUUAGAUACCCUGGUAGUCCACGCCGUAAACGAUGAGUACUAGGUGUAGGAGGUAUCGACCCCUUCUGUGCCGCAGUUAACACAAUAAGUACUCCGCCUGGGAAGUACGAUCGCAAGAUUAAAAGCUUAAAGGAAUUGACGGGGGUCAUAGCUG
rnacentral:rRNA from 1 species